AACGAACGCUGGCGGCAUGCCUAACACAUGCAAGUCGAACGAGACCUUCGGGUCUAGUGGCGCACGGGUGCGUAACGCGUGGGAACCUGCCUUUAGGUUCGGAAUAACUCAGAGAAAUUUGAGCUAAUACCGGAUAAUGUCUUCGGACCAAAGAUUUAUCGCCUUUAGAUGGGCCCGCGUUGGAUUAGCUAGUUGGUGGGGUAAAGGCCUACCAAGGCGACGAUCCAUAGCUGGUCUGAGAGGAUGAUCAGCCACACUGGGACUGAGACACGGCCCAGACUCCUACGGGAGGCAGCAGUGGGGAAUAUUGGACAAUGGGCGAAAGACCUGAUCCAGCAAUGCCGCGUGAGUGAUGAAGG
rnacentral:rRNA from 1 species